rnacentral:rRNA from 1 species
CAGACGGGAUGUUAAGUCAGCUGCGAAAGUUUGCGGCUCAACCGUAAAAUUGCAGUUGAUACUGGCGUUCUUGAGUGCAGUUGAGGUGUGCGGAAUUCGUGGUGUAGCGGUGAAAUGCUUAGAUAUCACGAAGAACUCCGAUUGCGAAGGCAGCUCACUAAACUGUAACUGACGUUCAUGCUCGAAAGUGUGGGUAUCAAACAGGAUUAGAUACCCUGGUAGUCCACACGGUAAACGAUGGAUACUCGCUGUUGGCGAUAUACGGUCAGCGGCCAAGCGAAAGCGUUAAGUAUCCCACCUGGGGAGUACGCCGGCAACGGUGAAACUCAAAGGAAUUGACGGGGGCCCGCACAAGCGGAGGAACAUGUGGUUUAAUUCGAUGAUACGCGAGGAACCUUACCCGGGCUUAAAUUGCAGAGGAAUAAUCUGGAAACAGAUUAGUCUUCGGACUUCUGUGAAGGUGCUGCAUGGUUGUCGUCAGCUCGUGCCGUGAGGUGUCGGCUUAAGUGCCAUAACGAGCGCAACCCUUGUGGUCAGUUACUAACAGGUAAUGCUGAGGACUCUGGCCAGACUGCCAUCGUAAGAUGUGAGGAAGGCGGGGAUGACGUCAAAUCAGCACGGCCCUUACGUCCGGGGCUACACACGUGUUACAAUGGGAGGUACAGAAGGCUGCGACCCGGCGACGGGCAGCUAAUCCCAAAAGCCUCUCUCAGUUCGGACUGGAGUCUGCAACCCGACUCCACGAAGCUGGAUUCGCUAGUAAUCGCGCAUCAGCCACGGCGCGGUGAAUACGUUCCCGGGCCUUGUACACACCGCCCGUCAAGCCAUGGGAGCCGGGGGUACCUGAAGUACGUAACCGCAAGGAUCGUCCUAGGGUAAAACUGGUGACUGGGGCUAAGUCGUAACAAGGUAACC